rnacentral:rRNA from 1 species
CCUACGGGAGGCAGCAGUGGGGAAUAUUGCACAAUGGGGGAAACCCUGCUGCAGCGACGCCGCGUGAAGGACGAAGUAUUUCGGUACGUAAACUUCUAUCAGCAGGGAAGAAAAUGACGGUACCGGACCAAUAAGCCCCGGCUAACUACGUGCCAGCAGCAGCGGUAAUACGUAGGGGGCAAACGUUAUCCGGAUUUACUGGGGGUAAAGGGAGCGUAGACGGCCAUGCAAGUCUGAUGUGAAAACCCGGGGCUCCAUCCCGGGACUGCAUUGGAAACUGGGCGGCUGGAGGGUCGGAGAGGCAAGUGGAAUUCCUAGUGUAGCGGUGAAAUGCGUAGAUAUUAGGAGGAACACCAGUGGCGAAGGCGGCUUACUGGACUGUAACUGACGUUGAGGCUCGAAAGCGUGGGGAGCAAACAGGAUUAGAUACCCUUGUAGUC